GGGAAUGAAGGGAAAUAACUGACUGAAUGGUCGUUGCUUUUUAAGUUUCAAACCGACAUUCCAGGCGGGUUGUGCCCGAGCCAGCCUCGGGCUUUCAGACCUUCAUAGCCUGGUCCUGAGAAGGUAGAGCUCUCAGCUUCUCCCUGGGCUCCCAUGGACCAGAAACAAAGCAGAAACGCGAAUUCCCGGCUCAGGCGUUUACUCGAAGAUGGGCAAAGUGAGGCGAAGCAGGAGGGGAUAGGAUGUGACUGAGCCGUACAGCCUCCAGCAUCUUGCUCCUGGACGGACUGGAUCCUACAG